rnacentral:lncRNA from 1 species
GUAAAACUUGCCAGAUGCUGCUGAUGAGGGCUGGUUUAUGAGGAUGCUUAUCAAUGGCCCGAGGAGAGAAAUAUGCAUGGCUGUAGCUUUUGAAGAUGAAACAAAAGGCUGAUACUAAAAAUUGAGUUUGUCCAGUAAACCUGUCUGUGGCCUGAAGGAAAGGGAGACUUAUUCCAGUGGUUGCUUAGUAAGUGAAUGGACAUUUAUGAAUCAAAUAAAUCAACACCACCCAUGGCAACCUGCCCCAGAAAUACCUGCUGAGGAGAGAUGGAUGAACACAGCAUGAGGAAAAAGUUAUCUGAGAAUGGCCUUAAUACCUUUUCCUGGCCUUCCUUCAUUGAACUUCCAAAGAGCAAAGGAAACAGAGGUUUCUCAGACCAGCCAGAGGAAGAAGGGUUGUCAUCAUUCUCCUUUUGC